UACAGAGACUGCAAGCGUUAUUCGGAUUCACUGGGCGUAAAGGGUGCGCAGGCGGUUGGGUGAGUCAGAUGUGAAAUCCCGAGGCUUAACCUCGGAACUGCGUCUGAAACUACUCGACUAGAGUACUGGAGAGGGUAACGGAAUUCACGGUGUAGCAGUGAAAUGCGUAGAUAUCGUGAGGAACACCAGAGGCGAAGGCGGUUACCUGGACAGUUACUGACGCUCAGGCACGAAAGCAUGGGGAGCAAAAGGG
rnacentral:rRNA from 1 species